UCGAGCGGACAGAAGGGAGCUUGCUCCCGGAUGUUAGCGGCGGACGGGUGAGUAACACGUGGGUAACCUGCCUGUAAGACUGGGAUAACUCCGGGAAACCGGAGCUAAUACCGGAUAGUUCCUUGAACCGCAUGGUUCAAGGAUGAAAGACGGUUUCGGCUGUCACUUACAGAUGGACCCGCGGCGCAUUAGCUAGUUGGUGAGGUAACGGCUCACCAAGGCGACGAUGCGUAGCCGACCUGAGAGGGUGAUCGGCCACACUGGGACUGAGACACGGCCCAGACUCCUACGGGAGGCAGCAGUAGGGAAUCUUCCGCAAUGGACGAAAGUCUGACGGAGCAACGCCGCGUGAGUGAUGAAGGUUUUCGGAUCGUAAAGCUCUGUUGUUAGGGAAGAACAAGUGCAAGAGUAACUGCUUGCACCUUGACGGUACCUAACCAGAAAGCCACGGCUAACUACGUGCCAGCAGCCGCGGUAAUACGUAGGUGGCAAGCGUUGUCCGGAAUUAUUGGGCGUAAAGGGCUCGCAGGCGGUUUCUUAAGUCUGAUGUGAAAGCCCCCGGCUCAACCGGGGAGGGUCAUUGGAAACUGGGAAACUUGAGUGCAGAAGAGGAGAGUGGAAUUCCACGUGUAGCGGUGAAAUGCGUAGAGAUGUGGAGGAACACCAGUGGCGAAGGCGACUCUCUGGUCUGUAACUGACGCUGAGGAGCGAAAGCGUGGGGAGCGAACAGGAUUAGAUACCCUGGUAGUCCACGCCGUAAACGAUGAGUGCUAAGUGUUAGGGGGUUUCCGCCCCUUAGUGCUGCAGCUAACGCAUUAAGCACUCCGCCUGGGGAGUACGGUCGCAAGACUGAAACUCAAAGGAAUUGACGGGGGCCCGCACAAGCGGUGGAGCAUGUGGUUUAAUUCGAAGCAACGCGAAGAACCUUACCAGGUCUUGACAUCCUCUGACAACCCUAGAGAUAGGGCUUUCCCUUCGGGGACAGAGUGACAGGUGGUGCAUGGUUGUCGUCAGCUCGUGUCGUGAGAUGUUGGGUUAAGUCCCGCAACGAGCGCAACCCUUGAUCUUAGUUGCCAGCAUUCAGUUGGGCACUCUAAGGUGACUGCCGGUGACAAACCGGAGGAAGGUGGGGAUGACGUCAAAUCAUCAUGCCCCUUAUGACCUGGGCUACACACGUGCUACAAUGGACAGAACAAAGGGCUGCGAGACCGCAAGGUUUAGCCAAUCCCACAAAUCUGUUCUCAGUUCGGAUCGCAGUCUGCAACUCGACUGCGUGAAGCUGGAAUCGCUAGUAA
rnacentral:rRNA from 1 species